UUUAAUCCAUUUUUUAAUAGAGAGUCUAUGAUACCAAUAUUUUUUGCGCUAGAAUAUUGGAUACUUGUGGUUUUGAUGAAGGUAGAAUCAGUUACACUAGGACAAAAUAAAAUAAUAGAAUACAUAUGCCUAUGCUUGUUUGUUUGUUUUCAGAACAAUUAAAUGUUAUGGUUCUCAACAAUUUUGUGAUCUGUAAAUUGCGUGUUGUAGUUUACACUUUAAUUGCAAUAUAGACCUUUGGCAUUUAAAUUCAUUCUCAUUUGGGUUUGGUUCUUCCACUGUACUCAGCAGUCAGAUACUCUCCCUACCUAUAUGUGUGCAUAGUUUUGUAGCAUUACUAUUUUAAAACUAUCGGAUAUGUUGUUAUUCAUUCUGAUGUGCCAUAGACCUGGCAUUUUAUAUGAGAUGGUUCAUCCUCUCUUGGUCAUGUCUUUACCGUUGCUUCUGUAAUGGACAGGCUACAGUCAUCAGUAGUAACAUAGUUGACUCUUUCUUAAAAGGUGUCUAGAUAUUUAAGUCAUCACAUGAAGAAGAUUUUCUUUGUUCAAAUCUGUGUUAGCAUAAUAUUUUGUAUUAAUUAUAUCUCAUCUAUCCAUCUAUUAGAUUUUUAUGGAGUAUUUUUUUUGUUUCAUAUAUAUAAGUUAUACUCUGAUUGGUUGUCUACAAAAUGGUUAGAAAUCUUAAAGCAAUCUUGCUAAUAUUAUACAAGUUGUCAUCAAAGGUGUUGAACACGUACCAGAGUUGGUUGCUUCUUCUAACAAAAACAUCCAGAAAAGUGGAGCAUGCCAGUUGAAUGACGGAUUCCUCACUGUUCAUAUUGCUGGACAAUACAAGAGCAUAUAGAGGAGUGUGCUAUAGUUUUCACUGCUUCAACAUCCAUCAAGCUGGCCUAACAUCUAGGUUAGUUGCUUUAUCUAUUGUCUGAAAAUGUCUCAACAAUUAGCAAUUUGGCAUCUGUAUAAUACUAUUGACCAGUGGAGGAGGUGAAACUUUGGCAAUGAAAAAAGGAAGGGAGAGGCUAAGGUACUGCUGAAUUGGUUUCAUGUGGAUUAUUUUCUUUGUCUUCUGCUACUUCUGAAUAUCGAAAUUGUUCUAGGCGAGAUGCAUUUUCUAGAGAUAUGCGAUCUUUUUAACCUCUUUUCUUGUAUCUGAUAUGAUCAUUUUAAUUUCUUACUCUGAACUAUAAUAGGUUUAUUGACAAUAUCAAAGGUACUAAGCUACUGUGUAAGUCAGAUUGCACUAUUGUGUAGCCUCCCCUGAAUGAGUCCGGCAAACUGGGAAGAUAUUGAUGAAAUACAACGUGCUAGAUCUUCCACAAUAAAGAGAUAAUGUAUAUAUAUGACUAAAACAGUGCUUGGAUUGUGCUUGUUGUGACCUUGCCUGUUCAUAGAAGUUGCAUGAACAAAGGUGUUCAAUUUAGUGAAGCAUCAACUUCAGUGUUUAGAGAAGAGGAACAA